UACGUAGGGGGCAAGCGUUGUCCGGAUUUAUUGGGCGUAAAGAGCGUGUAGGCGGCCUGACAGGUCUGCUGUGAAAACUCGAGGCUCAACCUCGAGAUGUCGGCGGAAACCGUCUGGCUAGAGUCCGGAAGAGGAGAGUGGAAUUCCUGGUGUAGCGGUGAAAUGCGCAGAUAUCAGGAAGAACACCUAUGGCGAAGGCAGCUCGCUGGGACGUUACUGACACUGAGGCGCGAAAGCGUGGGGAGCGAACAGG
rnacentral:rRNA from 1 species